UACGUAGGGGGCAAGCGUUGUCCGGAAUUAUUGGGCGUAAAGAGCGUGUAGGCGGUUCGAUAAGUCUGCUGUAAAAGUCGGGGGCUCAACCCCCGAAAGCCGGUGGAUACUGUCGAACUAGAGUACGGAAGAGGCGAGUGGAAUUCCUGGUGUAGCGGUGAAAUGCUCAGAUAUCAGGAGGAACACCAAUUGCGAAGGCAGCUCGCUGGGACGUUACUGACGCUGAGACGCGAAAGCGUGGGGAGCAAACAGG
rnacentral:rRNA from 1 species